rnacentral:rRNA from 1 species
CGAUGAAGAACGCAGCGAAAUGCGAUAAGUAAUGUGAAUUGCAGAAUUCAGUGAAUCAUCGAAUCUUUGAACGCACAUUGCGCCCGCUAGUAUUCUGGCGGGCAUGCCUGUCCGAGCGUCAUUUCAACCCUCAAGCCCCCGGGCUUGGUGUUGGGGA